UACCACUUUCAGUCAGAGCUGAUUCCAUCUGUAGUCUCUACACUAAGGAUGAUGUUCUUCUGUUUCACCGUGUCUCUCACUGGAGUCAGUCUGGAGGGAAUCUUUGUAUAUUUUAUUUAAGUCGUAGUGAACUCUUCACACAAUCAGUGAACAGCAGAGAGCUGAGCUGUGUUUAUUCACUCAAGACUGAACCUGAGAACAGAUCACCACACAGUGACACAAUCACCAUCAGUAACACAAUCCCCAUCACAGUCACAGUCACCAUCAGAGACACGAUCAACUUCAGAGACACAAUCACUACCAGAGAUUCAACUUCAACCACCACUGAACAUACGACUACAACAACAGCCCCGACAACCUGUGAGUAAAUGAGUUUGUAUAUCAGUUAUUCGGACUUCUUUCUGAAUGUCCUCAAAACAACAAUCAUUCUUUCUAAUUCAUGAUUAUUUACUCAGCAUUUAAAAUUGUCUUUAAGUUUCACAGUGGCUUUUUUUUUUUUUGUGCAUGAACUAUACUGGCCACUUCUGAAACAACAUACAGUAAAAUUGGUACAUACAUAGCAACAUAAUCAUUAGUACAUUAGUAACAAAGUUAUUAAUAAAGUAACAGCAUUUCUGGUUAUUCUAAAUUAAAUUUCAGAAACAAUGUUCUUCUAAAAAAUGAUCCCCCUUGCGAUGUUUUAUUUUUACAUUAUUAGUCCAAUCCAAAACGAGCCUGCCAACCAGCACAGCAAAGGAAACAGAGUUAAAUGUCAUUUCCACUUCUGAAAUAACAACAUACAGUAAAACUG